rnacentral:tmRNA from 1 species
CGGAUUUGAAUUUUGCGCCAGACGCUCUAUAUUCGCUGCGCCGUCGCAAGACGGCUAUGGCGAUAAACGGUCAUCGUAAUAAACCUAUCGGACCCGGGGGCGGUACCCGGCGCCUCCACCAGAAGGAGAUCGCGGUCUCUUUCUGAUGGGGGCGAAACAGGAUCGACGAGGGCGUAAAGGGUGUUCUUUUGCCCGGCAUGAUACCGCCGUUAUCGGGUCAAACCUAUAGUUGCGAAUGACAACUAUGCUCCCGUCGCGGUGGCUGCGUAAGCGGUCCCCAAAACGGAACCUAAGUCCUUGCGCUUAGCGGCGUAAGGCGGGGCUCGGAGGCGCCUGGCAACAGAAGCCUCCACC